UUGCGUAUUCGUGCGAAUGUGAGUGAC
rnacentral:sRNA from 1 species